rnacentral:rRNA from 1 species
CCUACGGGGGGCAGCAGUAGGGAAUCUUCCGCAAUGGACGACAGUCUGACGGAGCAACGCCGCGUGAGCGAAGAAGGUCUUCGGAUCGUAAAGCUCUGUUGUUAGGGAAGAACAUGUACGGGAGGAAAUGACCGUACCUUGACGGUACCUGUCGAGGAAGCCACGGCUAACUACGUGCCAGCAGCCGCGGUAAUACGUAGGUGGCAAGCGUUGUCCGGAAUUAUUGGGCGUAAAGCGCGCGCAGGCGGUCUUUUAAGACUGACGUGAAAGGUUUCGGCUCAACCGCAAGCGGUCAAUGGAAACUGGCAGACCUGAGAGAAAAAGAGGAAAGUGGUAUUCUACGUGAAGCGGUUAAAUGCGUAAUGGUAUGAAGGAACACCAGCGGCGACUGCGGCUAACUGGUUUGUAACUAACACUAAAAGGCGUGGACGUGGGGAACAAACGGGUUUUGUCACCCGGUUAAGC